AUUGAACGCUGGCGGCAUGCUCUACACAUGCAAGUCGAACGGCAGCGCGGGCUUCGGCCUGGCGGCGAGUGGCGAACGGGUGAGUAAUACAUCGGAACGUGCCCAGUAGUGGGGGAUAGCUCGGCGAAAGCCGGAUUAAUACCGCAUACGACCUGAGGGUGAAAGCGGGGGAUCUUCGGACCUCGCGCUAUUGGAGCGGCCGAUGGCAGAUUAGCUAGUUGGUGGGGUAAAGGCCUACCAAGGCGACGAUCUGUAGCUGGUCUGAGAGGACGACCAGCCACACUGGGACUGAGACACGGCCCAGACUCCUACGGGAGGCAGCAGUGGGGAAUUUUGGACAAUGGGCGAAAGCCUGAUCCAGCAAUGCCGCGUGUGUGAUGAAGGCCUUCGAGUUGUAAAGCACUUUUGGCGGGAACGAAAAGGACUGUGCCAAUACCACGGCUCGAUGACGGUACCCGCAGAAUAAGCACCGGCUAACUACGUG
rnacentral:rRNA from 1 species